CCUUAGCUCAGUUGGUUAGAGCGGUCGGCUCAUAACCGAUUGGUCGCAGGUUCGAGUCCUGCAGGGCC
rnacentral:tRNA from 1 species